rnacentral:rRNA from 1 species
UUGGAGGGCAAGUCUGGUGCCAGCAGCCGCGGUAAUUCCAGCUCCUAUAGCGUAUAUUAAAGUUGUUGCAGUUAAAAAGCUCGUAGUUGAAUUUCGGGAUUGGCGCAUCGGUCGUGCCUCACGGGGUAUGAACUGGUGCAGUCAAUUUCUCACCUUCUGGAGAACCGCGAUGUCCUUAAUUGGAUGCCGCGGGGAACCAGGACCUUUACUUUGAAAAAAUUAGAGUGUUUAAAGCAGGCAUUUUUGCUUGAAUACAUUAGCAUGGAAUAAUAAAAUAGGACGGCAUGGUUCUAUUUUGUUGGUUUCUAGGACCACCGUAAUGAUUAAUAGGGAUAGUUGGGGGCAUUAGUAUUCAAUUGUCAGAGGUGAAAUUCUUGGAUUUAUUGAAGACUAACUACUGCGAAAGCAUUUGCCAAGGAUGUUUUCAUUAAUCAAGAACGAAAGUUAGGGGAUCGAAGACGAUCAGAUACCGUCGUAGUCUUAACCAUAAACUAUGCCGACUAGGAAUCAGACGAUGUUAAUUUUUUAAUGACUCGUUUGGCACCUUACGGGAAACCAAAGUGUUUGGGUUC